UAUAACUUAUAAAUACAACCCCCUGCCCAUUGACGCCAUCUUUCUUCCCCUGGUAUUGUUGGCUGUUGGAUAACUGGAGAUAAGGAGCCUAUCCCGGGACUAGUGGUCUCCUGUGUAACUAAAGCACAGCUUCCUUUCCUGCCUUCCACUCUUCUGGGAACAAAAGAACCUCAAACCUGAGCUCAUAUCUUGUGCUUUCAAGAGGCACCGACUCACUUUGAGAAUUAAA